UACGUAGGGUGCGAGCGUUAAUCGGAAUUACUGGGCGUAAAGCGUGCGCAGGCGGCUUUGCAAGACAGAUGUGAAAUCCCCGGGCUCAACCUGGGAACUGCAUUUGUGACUGCAAGGCUAGAGUACGGCAGAGGGGGAUGGAAUUCCGCGUGUAGCAGUGAAAUGCGUAGAUAUGCGGAGGAACACCAAUGGCGAAGGCAAUCCCCUGGGCCUGUACUGACGCUCAUGCACGAAAGCGUGGGGAGCAAACAGA
rnacentral:rRNA from 1 species